rnacentral:rRNA from 1 species
AUUGAACGCUGGCGGCAUGCCUUACACAUGCAAGUCGAACGGCAGCAUGAUCUAGCUUGCUAGAUUGAUGGCGAGUGGCGAACGGGUGAGUAAUACAUCGGAACGUGCCCUGUAGUGGGGGAUAACUAGUCGAAAGAUUAGCUAAUACCGCAUACGACCUGAGGGUGAAAGUGGGGGACCGCAAGGCCUCAUGCUAUAGGAGCGGCCGAUGUCUGAUUAGCUAGUUGGUGAGGUAAAGGCUCACCAAGGCGACGAUCAGUAGCUGGUCUGAGAGGACGAUCAGCCACACUGGGACUGAGACACGGCCCAGACUCCUACGGGAGGCAGCAGUGGGGAAUUUUGGACAAUGGGCGAAAGCCUGAUCCAGCAAUGCCGCGUGUGUGAAGAAGGCCUUCGGGUUGUAAAGCACUUUUGUCCGGAAAGAAAUGGCUCUGGUUAAUACCUGGGGCCGAUGACGGUACCGGAAGAAUAAGGACCGGCUAACUACGUG